UGACUUCCGAGGCAGCAGUUCGAUACGAAAAUAUAGUGAGUCGAUGGACAGUGACACCAGAGCGGGCUAUUAGAUUGGAAGACUUUCCUGAAUUCGAGCUGACCACUUUGGUGUAUAACUGUGGAUGGGGUAAAGUAGUGGAGCAGCCACAUCGGGUCUAUGAAUUAUUGGUAGGGAAAUUUUACGCCAACUUCAAUACAGAAAUUGACACACCAGGGUCCAACCUUCUACAUUAGACUUCAGGGAAAAAUGGAUCACAUUCUCACCCGAGGUUAUUCAAGACUACUA
rnacentral:lncRNA from 1 species